UACGAAGGGGGCUAGCGUUGUUCGGAAUUACUGGGCGUAAAGGGCGCGUAGGCGGUGCCUCAAGUCAGGCGUGAAAGCCCCGGGCUCAACCUGGGAACCGCGCUUGAGACUGGAGUACUAGAGUUCGGGAGAGGAUGGUGGAAUUCCCAGUGUAGAGGUGAAAUUCGUAGAUAUUGGGAAGAACACCGAUGGCGAAGGGCAGCCAUCUGGACCGACACUGACGCUGAGGC
rnacentral:rRNA from 1 species